UAGAGGCAUCCCAGAAGUGAUGGGGCAGUGGGAGGAGAUAGGUGGGAAAAAGAAGCCCUUGUUCAGGUUCCAUCUGGCCUCUGCGCUACUCCUGUCUUGGUGAGUCUGUGGCCUCCGCUCCAGAGUCUCCAGCCAGUGUUCCUGAUAGUCCAAUGCAAAGGGCAGAAAAUGGAGGGCCCCCACACCCCGCACUUGUCAAUAUGAAAGGUUUAGCAGAGUCCAAAUCUCAUUUCCAGCUCCUCCUGCAGCCUAGGCUGAGUCAUCUCCCUGCUAACGGGGAGUGCGUGGGUUGGCCUCGGCGUUAGCCUGUUUAUCUCUGCCUUCUCCAAGCCUGACGCUGGCUCAGCCAUGGCUAUUUAUCAGCCUGGGAAUGAGCUGAGAUGAGCUCCCUGUGCCAUAAAACAAGCCUUGCUGUCAUCCUGCUCACUAGCUAAGCCAGUCCUCUGGGUGUGGACCCUGCGGUGGGGACUGAAGGGCUCCUGAAAACAGUAUGGACUCAAGCCCCCAGCCGUGGUGUGAGUGGAAUGACAGUGCUCCAGCCUUACAAUGCAAUGCCAGAGCCUCGCGUUCUGGGGAACACUUGCUCGUUGUGUGGCUGAGCUGCGGACUCCGCUCUGAGCGAUGAGGGUGGUGCCAAUGUAAACUUCCCCCUCCAGGCCACCCAUCCACCGCCGCCUGGAAAAGAGGUGACCUCCCCUAGCCAGGAGAAUGGACUCGUUACCCUGGAAAGGGUGGACUUGAUCAUGGGAAGAGAGACCAUUGCAGCACUAGAGCACCCAUCAGCAGGAGGUGCUAGAGAGGAGAGAGCGUGCUUCACCACACCCAGCCGUGAGGGGCCCACCAUGGUCUAUGUACCAUGAUGCCCUGGUGAUGGAAGAGAUGCAGAAGAGACCUCAAAGAUGCUGCAGCACUGCAGGAGCCAGGGGUGACGCUUGUCCCUAGGGUUGCCAAGACUCUGCAGCUCAGCUGGAUUCCAGAGCAGCCCUAGGAAGCGAGUCAGAGCGCAAACCCUGGCUGUUGGCCACAUUGGGUGUGAUGCAGCAGCUGGCCUGUGACUUCCUUGCUGUGCUCUCCCACUCAAAGGUCUCUCGGCACACAAGAUCCAUUGUUAAGCACCAAAUGGAAAAUUCCACUAAUGAGGGGUGACAGAUCUUCCUGAAGUGAUGCCUUAGACAAGAGAACGCAGAGCAGUACUUCAGAAUGUGCCAACACUCUGCUCUCCAGGGUGGGUUAAUGAGAUGACAUGAAGCUGAAUGUCACUGCCAACCUCCUCACG